rnacentral:rRNA from 1 species
AAACGGGUGCGGAACACGUACACAACCUUCCUUUAAGUGGGGGAUAGCCCAGAGAAAUUUGGAUUAAUACCCCGUAAUAUUAUUGAGUGGCAUCACUUGAUAAUUAAAGCUCCGGCGCUUGAAGAUGGGUGUGCGUCUGAUUAGGUAGUUGGUAGGGGUAACGGCCCACCAAGCCUACGAUCAGUAACUGGUGUGAGAGCACGGCCAGUCACACGGGCACUGAGACACGGGCCCG